rnacentral:misc_RNA from 1 species
AUGGCGAGAUACUGUAGAAUCGAGAAUUUUAGCUUCCAUUCGAAGCUCAUCAUCAUGUGGUUAGAGGCGAUUUAACUUUGGAUAAAAUGGCUAUAAUAUUUCUCUUCAUUUUCAGGUCUGGCAUUUUGAGUUUUACUUCGUUUAGGUAAUAGUUUCUGAAACAAUAUUACUUACAGAUCUUUUGAAGAUUUUAGUUGCUCAUGAAUGCAUGUUGUGAAUUGAACUUUAGGUUUUGCAGUUUUUGUGCUUUGCUUGAAACUGUAAAUAUAUUUAUAAGUUGGGGUUGUUAUGUUUCUGUUAGUUAGUUACUAACAGCUCCGGCUCAGCAUUUAGGGAUUAGAUUUUUACUUUGCUUUGUGUAUAGGUACUUCAAUGUAUUGAAUCAAAUACGACUACUGAAGAUUAUUCUUCAAUUGCAGUUUUUAUUCCUUGCUUAAUUGUGUUCAUGGUAUCAGAGCACAUCUAAGAUGUGCUUGUUUUCGUCUGGGGUUUAGAAUUUGUUGAUAACUGAGUUUACAGUUGCAGAGAUUAGCUGCUUCUGGAAAUGGAGUCUAUUGAGGCGGAUUGAGAUCGUGAGGUGUGAUCUGGAAAUCAGGCACAAGGAUUUAGGAACGUAGAUCAUGAUCAAAAGUAAUAGAUGCUGAUUCUUUGGUUUUGCAAAAUUCAGAUCAUCCAAGCAUGAUCUUAGUAAGUGCACUUCUCACUGGUUCUAAUUACUCAGCUUGGAGCAAAUCUACGAUUAUAGCUCUAAGAGCUUAGUACAAACUAGGUUUUAUUAAUGGUAAAUGUAUAAUUCCUGAUGUGAAUUCUCCGAUGUUGACAAGUGGCAAUUGGUUGAUAAUAUGGUGAUAAUUUCAUGGAUUUUGAACACAAUUUCAAAAGAAUUGGUUUAAGCUUUCUUGUAUGUUGCCACAGCUAGAGAACUGUGGGAAGAACUAGAGCAAAGGUUUGAGAAAAGAAAUUUUGGCAAAAAGAAGGAGUUUGUAAAGAAAGAUCUUUACUGUGACAAUUCUAAUGCUUCUGGUCAUGCAAGAGACACUUGCUUCAAAAUUUAUGGUUAUCCUGAUUGGUACAAAGAGUUGAAACAGAAGAAAGAGAAAAGUCAAGUUUGUGUGGCAGCUAAUGUCGCAAAUAUGGUAGUGAAGCUUAUGCCAGAAUAAGUAUGAGGAUUGGUCUGUGAAUCUCACCAAUGUCAUACGACAGUAGAUACUGCAAUAAAUGAAAGUUGCGCAGGUAUGCAAGCUCACUAAGUCCUUGCAUGGACUUAAGCAAGCAAGUAGGCAAUGGAAUAAGGACUUUACUAAGAAUUUGCAAAAUUAUGAUUUUACUCAAUCUUCAUCUAAGUUGUGAAAGGGUCUGGUGAUAGUUUCAUUGCUUUGUUGGUAUAUGUUGAUGAUGUUUUGAUCACAGGGAUCGAUGAAAAAGAUAUAAUUGCCACCAAGCAAUUUUUGGAUAAACAAUUCACCAUUUAAGGAUCUUGGCUAUGCCAACUACUUUUUUGGUCUUGGAAUGGCACGGUCUGCAUAUGGGAUGUAUCUCAGUCAAGGAAAUAUGUUUUUGGAUGUCCUUGAUGAUGCAGGAUUGUCUUCAGCUAAACCAAUAUCUACACUUAUGCUUUGGGGGUUAAAGCUGGAGACUGAUGUGGGAGAAUUGUUUCAAGAACCUAAAAGAUAUUGCAGGCUGAUUGGAAGGUUAUUAUAUCUUGGAUUUACACGCCUAAAUGUCACAUACUCAGUCAAACAGUUGAGUCAAUUCUUGCAAACUCUACAGAAGCCUCGUUGAGAAGCUGCUGUUCACGUGAUGAAAAGGAUUAUUUUUUCCUACUAACUCUACAUUUCAAUUGGCCGCCUUUUGUGAUGUCGACUGGGCUUCAUGUCCUGUGUCGAGAAAAUCUGUGUCAGGCUUUUGUAUCUUUUUGGGGUUUGCACUUGUUUCUUGAAAAUCGAAGAAGCAGUCUGCUGUUAGUCAUUCUUCGGCUGAGGCUGAGUAUAGGGGUAUGGCAUCUAUUGUUUGCGAGCUUCGGUGGAUUACUUCAAGAAUUUCAGAUUUCAGUCUGUUUGCAUAUUCCUCUUCAUUGUGAUAGUCAAGCAAGGAUGUAUAUAGCUGCCAAUCCCCUUUUUCAUGUUCGGACAAAGCAUUUAAAAAUAGAUUGUCAAGUGGUGAGGGAUCGGCUUGCUAAGGGUUUCAUCCAAACGGUUUAUGUUUCUUCUAUCCAGCAACCUGCGGACUUGUUCACGAAGUCCUUGUCUUCAGUUUCAUAUGAUUUUCUCUUCGCCAAGAUGAGACUUCUCCUCGUCUCCAUCUUGAGGGAGAUGUAAAAUAUAUUUAUUAGUUAGCUUAAAGUGAUUUAGUUACUCUGUAAGUUGGGUUUGUUAUGUUUCUGUUCUUUAGUUAGUAACUAACAGCUCCAGCUCAGCAUGUAGGGAUUAGUUUUUUACUUUGCUUCAUGUAUACAUACAUGAAGAAUAAGUUGUAAGUUUAAAAAUAAUUAUUUGUAGAAUUAAAAUUAUUAUAAGAAUAAGUUGUUAAAAGCAUUUC